rnacentral:miRNA from 1 species
AUUGCACUGCAUGGCAUCUGCACUCAGCAUGUUUUUCCUGCUGGGAAGUUCAAAGACAGUGCUAU